GCUGGGCAUGGUGGCUUAUGCCUGUAAUCCCAGCACUUUGGGAGGCUGAGGUGGGCGGAUCACCUGAGGUCAGGAGUUUGAGACCAGCCUGACCAACAUGGAGAAAUCCCAUCUCUA
rnacentral:sRNA from 1 species